CGGUGGAGUUCCGCUGUUAAACGGAGCGCCUUUCCCUCCGGCGGAUUUUAAGUGGAUUAAUGAACUUCUCGCCGCGAUAGACGUCGGAUAUAACAACAAACACGGAACAUGUUUCAAAUCCCGCCCAACGUCUUUUCAUCGAUCACUAAAGUAAUUCACACGACAUGAAUCUAAACCCUGAAUCCAGUCUGAAAACAAAAAAACUGCAGGUCAGUGGAAGUUCACCGUGGAACCACGACCAGAGGAGAUCCUGAAA